CAAACAGUGACUCUGGUGUCUGUUGUGGGCCUCAGCGCGCUGUCCUUCUGUGACUCUGCCAACAACGACACAACACUGACCAUCACAACAGCUGAUCUGUCACAGAACAUGCAAAAGUCAAAAUAUAGCUGCAAGCAGCAAUGAUGGGCCCAAGCUCCAUGGGUCAAUUUCCACUCUGUGGCUUUCGGAAAACAAUGCAUGAUGGACACAGCAACAACUCAACAUUAAUGUAAACUUGGACCCUAAUCAUACAGUGGAGCUGGCACGCAAUCAGCGUUUCCAUGGGAACGGUGAUCGAUCUCGGGGAGAUGCUGAUCACAGCAAUGAUUUACUCGCCCAUUACCAUCUGCUUCACUCAGAUUGCACUCCCUACUUAUUCCUUGUAUGUCAC